AAUUAUGUGAAGACACUACAACAAAUACGGACAAUAGCAACGAUGAAUGGGCGGCUGUUUAUCAAAUUGCCGCAAAUUAAUAAGAUACUGGCGGUUAUAAUAGCAAUUUGAGCUUCUGCUACAAAAAGAAUCAGAUAAAGCCAGCGCCCUAAGUGCCCCGUCACCCCCUCGACUAGAAGUCCAGAGCUCUAAAGUCUGAAUCACUCCCCCUUCUCCAACCCUAGCUUCUUUUCAACCACCAACGCAGCGCCACCAUCGAUCAUCACCCUCAACAUCUCCGUCAGAACCACAGAACCACCACCUUCUUCUUCUUCUUCUUCUUCUUCUUCUUCUUCUUCUUCUUCUUCCACCUUCGCCGAACAACCACCGUGAAAACCCUUUCUCUCUUUCUCUUCCCCUGUCUCCUGCCUCCUGCCUUCUCUGUCUCGCUGCCGGCUACCAUCCAGCGCGGCCGCGACCAUCUUCUUCCCCUCCUCGCAACCUCGCACUGUGGCUCUCUAGCUCCCUCCAGCCUCCCUCAUUCCCAGUCGUAGAAUCAUAAUAGAGCCACUCUAGUUCAAACGCACCAGCGGUUGGUCACUGCCACUGCAUCUCUCUCUCCGAGUUCUUGCUCUGUUCUUCGACUCAGACUUAUUACUUCAGGCAAAGGAUCCUAUUUCGAAGAUCACCGAGGAGAGGAGUUCUAUUAUUGAUCAAAAUAAAAGACCUCCGCAAGAACUACCAGAAACAAAAAAGAACCAGCAUAAUCAAACCAACAAGAACCAUAAUAAAACUAAGAAUACCUAAACAUGUAAACAAGGUACCAUGAAUUCUAAAUGUGCCACAUAUAACACUAAGGACGUGGACAGUAGUGUAUGUAUGAAUACUUGAAUUAUUGUGCAUCAUGAAAAAGGAUGAAGAGCAAACUUGGUAGCUUAAUUGAGGGUCAAAGUUGGUUUUAGGAUACUGUUGAUGCCUGUAAGGCAGUUCUACUGGCUAUUUAAGGAUCCAAGAGCAAGGAACAUUGAGGAUGUAUUGAUUCUUUCCGAGGAUCACCUGUACAGAAUGAACUACAUGGAUUUGAUUCAAGUUCACCGGGAGAACAAAGUUGAAUUAGGUAUUGACUGUAAAAGGAGGUAUGGGUGGAAGGUUGGUUUCUUUGUUAGAGACACUAUUGACAUGUUUAUAUAGUAGUUGAUAAUUUUAUUCUUGAUGAAUGAUGAUCUCUUGGAAGUAUAGAUGAUGUUCUUCUCUGAUCAUGUAGUUUACUUGUUUUGGCUCUGACUUAUAGAGAAUUUUGAUUUUUUCAAAUAUGCUGCCACCAAUGUAUCUCUGACAGUUUCAAGGCGAGACAUGGCAACACAAAUGAUAAAUAUAUUAUUUUAUUUUUCAGUUAA